UACGUAGGGGGCUAGCGUUGUCCGGAAUCAUUGGGCGUAAAGCGCGCGUAGGCGGCCCGGUAAGUCCGCUGUAAAAGUCAAAGGCUCAACCUUUGAAUGUCAGUGGAUACUGCCGGGCUAGAGUCCGGAAGAGGCGAGUGGAACUCCUGGUGUAGCGGUGGAAUGCGCAGAUAUCAGGAAGUACACCGACGGCGAAGGCAGCUCGCUGGGACGGUACUGACGCUGAGGCGCGAAAGCGUGGGGAGCGAACAGG
rnacentral:rRNA from 1 species